CUGAAACUGCAAGAGAAAUUCCAUCUCAUAACUAUUGGAUGUGUUUCCAUGGAGGACUGGGUCCAGGAGUGACCCAUGCCUACAUACUCCAAGUGCAGAGGGAAGACGGCCCAGGUGGAAGGGUCCCCGUGAGUACAAUGCAGGUGAGGCGGAAGAAGAUUGACACAGAUGUGAUUCAACAGCAGCCAAGUCUACACAUCGAUAAGAAAACAUCUACGUAUGGUGCAUUCUGGAAGAAAGGAUUCUAGGAAUCCAGGAAAACCAUCCACGGAGGGCCAGUUUAUGAAAGCCCAUGGUGCAUGGUUACAGGAAGAUGUUUC
rnacentral:lncRNA from 1 species